CUGAUCCAGGGAUCGAGCCUGAGUCUCUUGCAUCUCCUGCAUUGGCAGAAUGCCUCUGCAAUUUGUGCAUUUUCAGAGGGCCCCAGGCCAUUUCCAUCUGUCCCACCUUUUCCAGCCAUGUUCUCAGCAGCGAAUCAGAAUACAGCCAAUUUUUGACACUCCCAGUAUGACUUGUCUCGGUCUAGCUGAAUCUUGGAGCCAGUCUGGUAAAGUCAGCUUUCCAGUGUGAUGAUGGAAGAUGAUGGCUUGAUGAGUAACUCCUGCCAGAUAGAGAACCAUCAACUGUUCCAUUCAUUCACUUAAAAAGUUUUAAGAACAAAGAUUGUGAGACUUGUGGAAAAAGAAGACAAAGAACAGAGCCCACCUUUGGGUCUGCAUUUUGGCCAUUGAUACGAAGAGAAGUAUGAGGAAGAAAAAAGAAGAUAACAGAAGAAAAUAAAGGGGCCAGGACAGGUUAAAAAGAUAUAAAGAGAUUUAGACAGCAAGGAAGAGAAGACCAGACAUUAAAUAAUUGAAAAAGAAAGGACUGUACAACUGCAGACCAGACGUGCCUACAGAGAAAGUCAGAGAGAGAGAGAAAGCCACAGAAAACCAAAAUACUAUUCACAGAAAUAGAGCGGUUCCCUGAGGACAAGCACUGUGUCUUUUUGUUUCUAUUUUCCCCAGAACCAAACACAGUGCCUGACGUAGAGCAAGCACUUAAGAAAUAGUUGUUGACUGUAUAAAUGAACAAAUGAGACAGGCGCAUGGAAGGCAACAGAAAGAAAGAAGUCUGUGUAGUGACCAAGCACAGGUGGACGUAGGUUCUGAUCUUGGCUUCGUAUCUUCAGAUUUGUGUCAUUUGGGGGUAAUGCACUCAUUACUUUUUAAAUAUUUUUGUGUCCCAGUACUUUAAUAUGUCAAACAAAAUUCUGUUCCAGGUAUUUCACUAUUUUGUUCCUAUCUCCAAACUACCCUUCCAUGUUCUGCUCUGUGUCUCUGGGGCUGCAGCUUUGCAGAUCACACUCUGGCUUUGCCAACUGGCUGAGAAGGAAGAAGGGGUUUGCUCCUCCCCUCUGCUUCCUGUUGAGCGUCCUUUCCCCCAGAACUUCAUCACAGCAGUGGCAGUUCUUUCCUAUAGCAGCAACUAAACUCACUUUGCCA